CUGUCACAGAGACACGGAACUGGCGUAUUAUUAUAUAGACUAGUCGAUUAGGCCCGUGGAAAAAUCCACUUAGGCAGAAAAACAAUUGAAAAGUUCUGUCAUUUGAAUUUUGAUGACAUCAGCAAAUAUUUCAGUAUAUUGAAUAUGCCUUUUACUAAAAAAAAUAAUCUGAAAAUGCAUAAAAAGAAAGUAUAUAAGUCAUAAUUUAACAAAAAAGUUCUUAAAAUCUAACACAAAAUAUCAAAUGUCAAAUCGCAUGAAAUCCUCCCAACAAAACUUCAGACAAAAUAUGAAAAACAACAGCGUGCAAGGUGUAAAAUCUAGUUAGUAGAAAGUUACAAAAUUGACAGUCACAACCCAGACAGUUACGACAACAAUAAUAAUAAUGUCAGAAAUAACACAUAUCUCAAAUAUGUAUACAUCUUAUUAUGUGAUUAUGUUGAAAACCUUCAAUAUUUUAAUCUGAAGUGUCGAAAAGAAAGGCUUGCAACAGUAAGCACAGAUCUACGAAAUAAGUUCUUUACGCAUUUUAAACAUUGUCUUUUCCCUAAAUGCUUAUACAACAAUACAACCUGAACAAUAUCAAAAAGCCAAACUUAAACAAACACAAAACACCUAAAAACAAAAAGUUAAACUUUGAAAAAUCAUUUAUUCGGUUGCAUACCAUCCUCUCCCGCAAAAAUAUGCACAAAAUGUAAAAAUUAACCGGUUAACAAAACAAUUUUUUGUCUAAUGAUCCGUACUGACUUUACCAAACAUUUUAACCUGAAAUGUCGAAAAAGCAAUGAGCAAGGAGUAAAUUUCAAAUCAACAAAAAUCAUUAUUUUGAAAACAUUGUAUAUAUAUAUAUGGUCCUUCCUCACAAAAGUUUACAAUAAAUGUAGAACACAAAGUUAAACUUUGAAAAAUCAUUUAUUCGGUUGCAUACCAUCCUCUCCCGCAAAAAUAUGCACAAAAUGUAAAAAUUAACCGGUUAACAAAACAAUUUUUUGUCUAAUGAUCCGUACUGACUUUACCAAACAUUUUAACCUGAAAUGUCGAAAAAGCAAUAUGCAAGGAGUAAAUUUCAAAUCAACAAAAAUCAUUAUUUUGAAAACAUUGUAUAUAUAUAUGGUCCUUC